GACACGACUCUCGGCAAUGGAUAUCUCGGCUCUUGCAUCGAUGAAGAGCGCAGCGAAAUGCGAUACGUGGUGCGAAUUGCAGAAUCCCGCGAACCAUCGAGUCUUUGAACGCAAGUUGCGCCCGAGGCCACCCGGCCAAGGGCACGUUUGCCUGGGCGUCAAGC
rnacentral:rRNA from 1 species